UUUUACAAGGCAUUUGUAUUUUUUGGGUUCUGUUUACUUGAUGGAACUUGGUGAGUUUUAAGCACUGACAGCUUGUCUUUGCUUUUGUUGCCCCUGGAGCAAUUCAGCAGAUCAUUCAAGAAGCAUUUUAAAGCUGAGUUGCAAAGGGGUGCAGGUGAUACUCUCUUGAGGGGAAACAGGGUGCUCAGGUGUUGCAGGGCAUUGAAAGAGGGUGUUGAAAAUAUUCUUGCUGAUGCUGCACCUGGUAGCCCUUGUUAGGUACAUAAUUGUCACAGGUGAAUAAAAUGCAGAUCACUCAAAAGAGAAGCAGCAAUGUGUUCUAUUGAGGUAAAUAAAUAUUUUUGACAGUUUGAUGGAAGCUGGUGAAGUUUGACAGUAAAGUUUAACUCCAGUUGCAGUUCAGGGAGAGCUCCUGGGCCCAUUUUGAUGGCAGUUGAUAGAGUGAGGCAGCUGGGUGCUGGUCAGUAGUGGAGACAAGAUCAAUGUUUGUUUAGUUCUGGUAGCAUUUUCUGUGCUUUGGUUACCCUGAAAUUCUGGGUUUCAGAAGCACCUUCUGACAUAUUUCUCAACCCACCUUCACUCCCAUGUGCAAGCCAGGGCCUUUCCAGCUCCUUGGUUCACACCCAAGAUGUGAGGCUGGCUGCUCCUAAGUCAAGCUGAGAGCGUUCCACUGAUCCACCACAGUGUUCUGUAUCUGGAGAGAGCCCAUUGUUUGGAGCAUCCUAACAGCAGGAAGUGUUUCUGUAUGUGAAUGGGAUUUUUUAUUUUCUUAAUCAGUGCUUUGGUAAAACAAUACACCUAAAGAUAUCUGCAUGCUUCCUAAGUAAUUCAUUUUUCCUUUUUACUUAGUGAGGUUGGAGACAAAGAUAUAAAUCCUGUUGUCCCUUUCUUUCAAUGUUUUUGUCUAUCACUAAAGACAGCCCAGCAUUUUUUUUUUCUUUUCUUUCUAUUCCUUGCACUUUGGCAGGGUUUUUCUCCUCCUAGUCAACCUGGAUGUAGCUCUUCUAGCCCGUAUCAGUCAUCAGCUGCAUAGUCCCAGGGAUGUUUAUGUCUAAUUUGCUGGCUAACACAUCUCUUAAGUCUUUUAUUUUUCCAGUACAUGUUCUUUCUAUGACAAGCAGAAAAAACUUCUAAGUGUGGAAGGCACAAUUUGUACAUGCCAUUAAGCCUAAGAACUGGAAGGUACUGUCAUGAAAAUAAUGCAAUGGAAUUGCCAGGAAUUGCUGUAUAUUAGGUUAUGACAGCUUAGGUUAUGUAUUUUACCAGUACUUGGUGUUUCUCCAGUUUCUGUGACAUUACAGUAUACUUAUUGGUAAAGAUUAUGUACUGUGAAAAUACUCACCUCAUACUAUCUAAUGUUGACUUUUAAUCAACAGCUAAUUUAAGUUCAGCCUUUUUAGUUCCCACUCAGCCAUUUCCACCUUUUUCCACGUAAGCUAAUUCUUCUGUUAAUUGUAACUUUUACUUUCAGCAAUCUCCUGUGACCUCUAGUGUUACUUAAAAUAGAGGAAAACUCAGACAUUUAUUGUAGCUUUUGCCACCCGUACCUUUUUUCCAAGCCAUUUGUCUAGCUGUAUUCUUCUCUGCCUUUAUUUUCUUCUCUAAAAAUACCUAUUGCAAACAAAAAAAAUUUGUAGUAUUUUUUUUUUUUUAAACAGGAAUUUUACAGGAAGGGAAGUAUUUCUUGAAAAGGCAAGACGGCCCUUCCUGUUUUCCUGCAAAAUCAGAUCAAGUCUUUAGUGCAGUCAGACAUACUUCACCAGUUUUUGGACAAUUUAGGAGUGCUUUUUCUUCUGUUAUUUAUUUCCCCCGAUGUAGCUUUAAUAAUUCUGUUGGUCAGUAAUACUUACUUGCAUUACUUAUCCUAGAUAAAUUUCUAAAUCCUUACCAGGGGAAAGGGAGGUGGGAUAGUUAAGUUGCUCCAGCUCACACUCUUCAUUUUUUUAACCUAUUCCUACCUUAUGGUGAAAUCAAUUAAACUGAAGAGCCAAGAGGGGGUUUGCUGCCUCCACAUCAGGCCUGAGUAAUUUUUUUUUUGGCUAGUAAGUAAUAAUGAUCGAUGGCUUGUUUAUUCUGGGGUUUCUGACUUCCAGAUGCAGGAGCUUGUGUGUGAUGAAGGUGUCAUGCUCCAGCAUGUGGCCAGUCUCAUUGUCCAAGUGAGAGCACUCAGCUGCCUGGCUUUGUUUUCGUUGCACCAUCCAUCAGAAAUGCAGUUCUCCCUGCCUUCAUUUUUCCCCUGUGCUUUCUGCUGUGUCACUCUUGAGUUCCUGGAAUUGCAGCCAGUGUUUACUCACUGCCUCUGCUCAGUGUGUUCCUACAGGGAUGUUAAUUGGCUGCCUAAGUGUCCCUGUGGUGCAAGAAAUGCUGCCUCUCUUGCCUCCUCCUCUGCACUAAGGGCACUUAGGAGGCUCAGUCAGCAACCUGGAUGUGCCCAGCUUUUGUAUUACUCAAAUCUGAAUGAAUAAUUUAGAGAGGCUUAACUGAAACAGAUGUUCUGACUCCUUUGUUUCUGUGACAAGCCUUUCUUUCCUCUUUGAUGAAGGGAGUCCUGUUCGGCUGUUGGUUUGUACCAGGGGGGGUUUCAGUGAGCACCUGCCUUGCCAGGUGAAGGGAGUGAAGAGGAAGGUUCGGGUGAGGCUGUCAUCAUCAGGAAUGUUUACUGGGUUGGUUGCCCAAGAGCAGCCUCUUCCAUGUACACAUUGAUUGCCCAGAUGCACAAACCAGGUCAUGGCUGCCAGGAUUAGCAGGCAGCAGUGAGGAGGAAAAACUGAACUAACCACCUUCCUCUGCAGAAGGUCUCCUGCCAGUGUUGCUUUUGUUUCCUUUUACAGCCUUUAAUGAAGUUUUUGCCAGUUCCACAGCCAUCAGGAAAGCCAAUUUCCACCUCAGUGUUCAAUCGUGUCUAUUAAUAGAAGGCACUAAUACUUGAGCACAGCUGGAUGCAGGCACCCUUCCUGGAUUUUUGUGUUCUUAUAUGGUAUUUCUGUUGAUAACAGAUGAAGUUUUGCUGCUUUUUAUGUAGCAGAUUUUUUGCAUUGCUCUUAAUGAGUAAUUAUUUUCUUUUUCUGGCUGGCUGCUGCAGCUUAGAGAAGUGAGAAUCGUCGUUUUAUUUUCGUGGACUAUGGAAGCAGUGCUGGGAGAGCUCAACAGCAGCGGAAAUGCAGUGAGAAUUAUUUCAGAUUUUCAGAGAAAGCUUCUUGACCUUAAUGAUUUAAGAAAUUUCAGACUAGUUACUUUCAGCUGGCAUCCAAAUUAACACUGUUUUAAAGGGGAAUUCACUCUGCUUUCUUAGCCAGCAAACAGGAAAACAAGGAAAAAGAAGAGCCAUCACUAAACAUCUUUGACUGAAAUCCCUACUAUUUUUGCAGCUGAAAAGUUUGUCUGGAUUGUCAUCAAAAGUGACACCUACUGUCAGUGUUUUUUUCUGCUACACACCCUACUUAACUGUCACCAGAUUUUUAUUUUGUGAGCUUUGCAGAGGCACCUUAUUCUAAAGGAAAGCAUUAUUGAGUAGAAGGCAUCUGAAGUCACAGGAUUGGUUGGGAAUGUCCACAGAGGUGCAUAAAUUUAUUCUAAUGUUCCCAGUCAUAUUGUGAAGGUUGCCAAGGCUAUCUCUAAAAUUUGAGAUUAUUCAGAAAAACAACAAUUCAGAUUAUCUGAAGACUUCCUUUUCAAGUUCUCCCUGGGGCAGGUGUGUGUUAUGACAAACAGAUUUACAGAAUUUAUAGGUGUUCUGCACUAGGACUGUGGCAAAUCAUGGGGCUGUUCCUGGAAGUUGCCCUCAGAGCUGUUGGCACCAUGUGAAAAUCAGGAGGACUGUGUUUGUGUGCAGAACAGUGCUGGCUUUUCUUGGUGGCAGAGGCAUGCUAAAAAUAGACUUAAACAUUAAAAAUUGGAAGCUGCUGGAGUACAGAAGGUGCCUCUUGUGUGGAAGAGCUGGCUUUGUGUAGUGGUACAGGAUUUGCAACUUGUAAAGCUGUGCAGUGGUCAAAAUAGCACAAUCCUUUCACAACACAAAUUCUGUACUGCACUCAGAAGUAGGAUAUUUUCUUCAUCAAUCUGCAGGUGUUUUUCCCUUUCUAAUUCCCUUCCAGGGCUGGCUUACUUCUUAUUAUUCCCUCAAGAUAAAGGGCAAUACAGAGGUUAUUAUGAAAAAAUGGCUGAAGGUUUUGUUGUUAGCACAGGGGCUUUUUUUAUUAAAAAAAAAAAAACAAACUCUCCCACACUGCUACAGGUAUUGAAAACUUGAUUAUAUGGCAAAAAAAAAAAUUAAAGAGCAGAUCACUAUUGGUAUUUCAAGAAGCACCUUUGAAUUUCUAAAUUAAUACAGAUUAUUUGGUUUUGUUGUGCUUAAAAAUAGCACUAGGCAGUCAAGUUUUGGUGGCCUUAAGUGCCCUAAAUCAUCUCAAUUGCUUUCAGUUAGUACUCCUAGAGUCUGGGUAAUCAGUCCAAAUUUAGGGACUGUAAGCUCAUAAUAGGGAUAUUACUCUGCUGAGGGGAAAUGAGUGGGUUCCUUCUCUUGACACCGGUGCUGAGAAACCAAAGGGUGGAAGGCCAACACUGCUUUUCCGAUGCUGAAUUUAGCCUCACCCCAGCUUUUGCUGCGUGGCGCUCAGUGCCAGCUGUCCCUGCUGGGGGGACCCUGGUCCAGCCAGCUCCAGAAGUGACCCCAGAAGGAGCAGGAGGGGUUUGCUCGCUGUGGUUCAGCGUGGGAGCCCGAACCUGCCGUCUGGGUGCCCUCCCCGUGCUGCUGGGUGGGGAUUGUGUGGCUCAGCACUCCGGCUUGCCGAGGGCUUGGCUUGGCCGGCAGCCGCCGGAAACCGCAGCCACAGCCCCAAGCGCCGGGCCGAGGAGCAGCCGCGUCCCUGCAGCAAACAGGAGCCACACGUCCACCGCGUCUGGUUGUAAAGCUUUGCCCUUUAGGGAGACACUCCCAGUUUGAAUUCUGGGCAAAGCUCUGCUGCCCUGGAGGUAGUGGCUCUUGGACAGCUGGGAGUGGGGGUAGAGGAGAAACCUCUGUCCCCAGAAAGCAAAGGAACUGUUUUUUCACUGAGUUGGUCUCCAGCCUCUCCACUGUCACCAUUCAUGACCUUUGUUUCCCCUGAGAGGAGGAUGCCUGUGCUCAUUAACGCUCUGGGGCUUUGUCCAGAGUCUCCUCUGCCAGAGGAAGAACCUGGCAGGAAGACCAGGAGGGUGGUGGCCUUCAGCACUCCUUGGGAGCUCCUUAAGGCUCAGAAACCCUGCUGGUUUUAUGGAAGAAGUCAGGUCUGUGCCUGCCUUUAUGCCAUGCUCAGUACAAGUGCUGGAACCAACUAGAAAAUGCACAUUUUUGAUCCCCAGGAGAGAAGCCUCUGUGAGGCAGGAUAAAACCUCACCAAGGUGGAGAUACCAUAUUUUUUAAUUGAACCAUAAUGCAGUUAUUCCUCCAGAGCAUGCUGAAGGCUCUCCUGAAGUGAUUUGAGUUGAAGCCAGUGCUGAAGCAAGAAGUGCCACAAUCUGCCUCUUUUUAAGUGGGAAUAAUAAAACAGUGUUGAAAUUUUCUAACAUGAUCGAAGAAUGAAGCCUAACAACACAAUCCCACCACCCCUGGUUAUGCCGUUUUGUUGCCCUUAGAUGAUAUUUUAACAGCAAAGUUCUGUUGAGAUCCCUUGACUUGGUGGUUUUUAUUCUCCUGUGUUUUCCAUUCAUUUUGGUAGCCAUGUGUGGGUCAGUUCAUACAGGCAUUCAUGAAUAAUAUUUUCUCUCUAUUUUCUCUGCACUCUGGGAGUGAAAAACAAUUUCCAGUUCUGAGUGCUGUUCAUGUUGGAUAUUGCCUGGCUUGAUUGUUGCAGUAGAAGUAAUCAAGUUCAUAACCUCGGAGACCUUUAGCCUCAAGAUGAAGUUGUCUUUUACGUAACUUCAGUGUCUUUUUAAAACCCCCUUUAGAGAAUACUGGAUCUGUUUGUGACUCCCUGGUUCUGUUUGUUACUCCUCCUCUGCAUCCCAGCCCUGCUGAGCAGGGUGUUGUGUGACACUGCAGACCAAGUGACACAAAUCCUAGCUGAGCUCAGCAGCGCCACGUGGCCUGUGGCUGGCACCUAAUCUCUUGUUUUCCUGGUGUUUACUUACCAGCCUGCAGUUUGCUGCUGCAGAUAACUGUGGAACGUUCUGGUGUUUGAAACAGCACGCAGAAAAUGGAAACAGUUUGGCUGGAGAAGUUGCGGCCAAAUUCUAAAUGUUCACAUGAGGUGAAACUGAAAAGAGGAUUUUCGAGCUGCCCAGAGAAAAAGGAGAGCUUGGCUGCAGUGACCGGCUCAUACAUUACUGUAAUCCUGUCCUGUGCAGAGUGGGAACCUGAGAAGAGGCUUGACAGGACUGGGGCACUGCUUCUAAUAUCGGAAUAUGACUGAAUGAAAGUGAAAUUUCAGUGCGUGCCAGAUUGUAAAAUUUACUGUCACAGAAACAGGACGUUCCCGAGAGGAGGUAAUUCAAGAGCACGCUUUAAGGAGAAAUAAGAAUGGGGAGUUUAAAGCUGAUUGUUGAUUAGUGUAAAAGAAGCAAGGAUUGUGCAGCCUGUGAUACUGUUUGCAGACACACAGGAUGUGAAGGCAGCAGACAAAGUCUGUUACCCUGCUUGGAAUGCGCUGACUUUGUUUCCAGAUCUCUUCCAAUACUGUGGAAGGACAUUAAAUAGAAAUUGCCUUUGUAUAUAGUAAAGCCUUUAAAGCAGUAAGCCAAGCUGCAUACCGGAGCCUUGGCCACAAACUGAACUGAGUAUGUAAAGGUUCUUGCUGUGUAGAUACUGUGUAUAACCUGUGAUCAGUUAACAAACUCUUUCCUUCUGCUUCCAAAAGAAGAAAACAGGCACAGUGCUUGUCGCCAUCAGCUGAGGGAUACUCAUAAAUUUUUGCACAACCCUAACUUCCUGCAUGUAAGUGAGCAGAAACUGAAGUGUUGGAAGUUAAAGAAAGAGUUGAAUAGUACAAAAAUUGCUUAAAGUGAAUGGUCAUUCCCUGGCCUCAGCUGUGUUUUGUUCCAGCAUAAAGCUGUUUCAGAGUCUCAAGAGUUGCUGAAAUAAAAAAACAAACAUGCCACUAUUGAACCUUAUUAAACCUUGGACUUGAAUUAGGUUGCUGCAAUCCAGAUGUCUUCAAACAGACAUCUCACCUAAAGGUGGUUUGUCAGUUUCUACGAGGUGUGAAGCCUUGUUCUACACCGUGGUAAAUGUAAUUCUGAUCUUACUGAUUUGCUUGAUAACAUUUCGUUUAGUGUGACCAAAUUCAAAUGCCAGUAGGUUGUGUCUAAAAACACUGCUUCAAAACCUGCUGCGUUAAAUUUGAGUGGUGUGGCUAACCAGCUCUGGCUGAUGCAUAAAACUCAGUAGUGAGGUCUGGAAGAGUUUCAUCUCUGUGCCAGAACGGCAGAAAUUUUAUUCCAGUGUUCGAAGUAGAAGAAGCCGGUAAGAGUGAGUGGCUCAAUGUUUCCAUGAUCAUCAAUAAAUUUAGCAGCUCCUGAGGCUGUAAAAGAGUCUUUACAAGCUAAUCAGCAUCACAAUCUCCUGGUUCAAACCAGUUUCUUAAAAAAAUCAUCGUGUUUUUAUUUCAUGAGGAAAUGGCUGUAUUUCCUCUGUGUCUUCUACCAUCUCUCAAUGAUGGUUGAUGUUGCUUCUGGGUACGGAUUAAUGAUUGUUGCAAAUGCUUAUUCUCCAUGGUGAGAAAAUGGCAGAAUAAUGAAAUUUUAGGGUUAUUCUUUUCCACAGUAGUAGCUGCAGGAAUUUGAACUAUAAUGAUAGUAAUAGAUUGUACAUAUUUUUCAGUUGUAUUCACACCAGCUGAGUUGAUGAAUGCUAAAAGCACAACGAAGCAUCUCCAGAGACAGGGUUUCUUCUUCUUGUUUUGUUUUGUUUUUUUUCAAAGACAGGUAUUUAAAACCAGGUAUAUUGAUGAAUUGAACUACGGUAGCAUGAGUUUAAAAACCAGCCAAAAUAACAACUUUGGCAAGGAGUUUUAGAUUGAGUUAGAGUAUAGUUAUGCAUAACGUAACUGGAACUGUCCUCCAAGGAUUUUUUUUUUUCCCUCCACCUGCCCUCAGUGGCUGACAGGAGCAGAAGGCCUUUGUUUGUAACAUGCAGUGUUGGUGAGUUUCAGUAAAAUAGGAAUGAAAGGGGAGUUACAGGCGGGCAAAGUCAGCCAUCAGAAAUUGCAGCGUAAAUCAUUUAGAAAUCGUUCUCAUCACUUCUACAGAGAAACCCAUCACAACAGGGCAGCACAAAUACCCCAGUGUCUGAGUAAUACACAGGUACUGACUAGAAACCUGCAUCCUGCUCUUCCAUUUCAUUAGGUUCUUAAUAUUAAGCCUCCAAAAAAUUAACUGGGAGACUGAAAUCUUCAAAAGAAUAUAAUUUUCUUGGUUGUUGUGGGUAUUCUUAUCCUUCUCUUUAAAAGUUGUUGCUUUUCUUAAAAAUGUAAUAGCAGAACUGCAUGUAAGAGCAGCAGUUGCAAAAUAGCAGAGUAUUUCCAAAAUUACUUGGGAUGGAAAAUGACAUAGGAGCACUCAAAGUUGUAAUUUUUGAACUUGGCUACUAUAGAUACUGUAACAAUAAAAGGUAUUUAAA